AAACCAAUCUGUUUCCGGUCACCGCCACGACUCUGACUCUCCGCAGCAGCUUCCCGCCGGGAGUCACACAGCAGCAGCAGGAGCAGGACAUCCUGUUGGCCUCGGCAGCGACACACCUGCCGCAGAAAAGGAGGAACUCAGAGCGUUUGAGGGAGCACGAGGAGG